UCCCUAUUACUAGGGCAGUCUGAAUAGAAAAAUACAACUAUUCACAAGGGUUGCGCUCGUUGAUGGACUUAACCAAACAUCUCACGACACGAGCUGACGACGGCCAUGCAACACCUGUCACUUGGCUCAAUAAAGCACUCACUGCUUUCACAGUAAUUCCAAGGAUGUCAAACCCUGGUAAGGUUCAUCGGUUAUCAUCGAAUUAAAGAACAUAAUCCACCGCUUGUGCUGAUCCCCGUCAAUUCCUUUAUGUUUUAGUCUUGCGACCGUACUCCACAGGCGGGAUACUUAACGCGUUAGCUUCGCUACUGAAGGGGUCGAUACCUCCAACAGCUAGUAUCCAUCGUUUACGGCGUGGACUAC
rnacentral:misc_RNA from 1 species